CGGGGCGUAGCUUAGCCCGGUAGAGCGCCUGCUUCGGGAGCAGGAGGUCGCUGGUUCGAAUCCAGUCGCCCCGA
rnacentral:tRNA from 2 species